UACGUAGGGGGCAAGCGUUGUCCGGAUUUAUUGGGCGUAAAGAGCGUGUAGGCGGCCUGAAAGGUCAGCUGUGAAAACUCGAGGCUCAACCUCGAGACGUCGGUUGAAACCAUCUGGCUAGAGUCCGGAAGAGGAGAGUGGAAUUCCCGGUGUAGCGGUGAAAAUGCGCAGAUAUCGGGAAGAACACCCGUGGCGAAGGCGGCUCUCUGGGACGGUACUGACGCUGAGACGCGAAAGCGUGGGGGAGCGAACAGG
rnacentral:rRNA from 1 species